UUCAUCAUAAUUAUAACGGGUUUUUUUAAUAUUUAAUGUAUUAUUUCCAUUAAAACAAGUCACAGUGUAUAAAUAUUUUGCAGUAAACUAUUUCGGAGACAUAAAUCGGCCUGAUUGAUCUAGAGUGAAACACGGUUUUAUUCAACAAAGCAUACUUCGUCGAACAGUCGUCUUCAAGAAAUCCAAUUUUUAAUUUUUUGACUUGCGGUCAUAGUGGCUUGAUAUAAUGUGGAUUUAUGUGCAUUGCUGUCUCCAGGUGAGAGGUUACAAAAGUUAGUGUCUACUCGUCAACAGAAAUCUAGAAUCCUCACUAAAACUUAAAAUCUGAGUCUCCGAAGAAAGAACCUAAAGGCCCAGCAUGGCACCACUCCGAAUGGUUGAGAUGGAACGGACCUUAUAUACCAUGGCAGACGUCACAAACAACUAAUUCUCUUCUUGAGAUACAAAAGGCGUCUUAUUGUCAUAUGCUAGCUUGAAUUGUAUGUGGUUAACAUAAAUAUAACGAACCCUAAAUAACUACUAAAAUCAUGAAAG